GCAUCGGUAGCUCAGUGGCAGAGCGGUGGGGCGUUUACCUAUGCGGCCCGGGUUCGAGCUCCGGUCGAAGCA